UACGUAGGGCGCAAGCGUUGUCCGGAAUUAUUGGGCGUAAAGAGCUCGUAGGCGGUUUGUCGCGUCUGCUGUGAAAACCUGAGGCUCAACCUCGGGCUUGCAGUGGGUACGGGCAGACUAGAGUGCGGUAGGGGUGACUGGAAUUCCUGGUGUAGCGGUGGAAUGCGCAGAUAUCAGGAGGAACACCGAUGGCGAAGGCAGGUCACUGGGCCGCAACUGACGC
rnacentral:rRNA from 1 species